rnacentral:rRNA from 1 species
AUACGGAGGGAGCGAGCGUUAAUCGGAAUUACUGGGCGUAAAGCGCGCGUAGGCGGCUUUGUAAGUCGGAUGUGAAAGCCCUGGGCUCAACCUGGGAAUGGCAUUCGAUACUGCAUAACUAGAGUAUGGUAGAGGGAAGUGGAAUUUCCGGUGUAGCGGUGAAAUGCGUAGAUAUCGGAAGGAACACCAGUGGCGAAGGCGACUUCCUGGGCCAAUACUGACGCUGAGGCGCGAGAGCGUGGGGAGCAAACAGGAUUAGAAACCCCGGUAGUCC